UUUCCGUAGGUGAGCCUGCGGAAGGAUCAUUCAUAAUAAAGUGUUUUAUGGCACUUUUUAAAAAUCCAUAUCCACCUUGUGUGCAAUGUUAGAUCUCGUCAAUCUUGGCGAGAUUUUUAUACAUCAACUCAUUCUUUAACUAAUUUGUCUGAAAAAUAUUAUGAAUACUUAAUUCAAAAUACAACUUUCAACAACGGAUCUCUUGGCUCUC
rnacentral:misc_RNA from 1 species